GAUGAACGCUGGCGGCGUGCUUAAUACAUGCAAGUCGAGCGAACAGACGAGGAGCUUGCUCCUCUGACGUUAGCGGCGGACGGGUGUGUAACAUGUGGAUAAUCUACUUAUAAGUCUGGUAUAAUUUCGGGAAACCGGAGCUAAUCGCGGAUAAUAUAUUGAACCGCAUGGUUCAAUAGUGAAAGACGGUUUUGCUGUCACUUAUAGAUGGAUCCGCGCCGCAUUGGCGAGUUGGUAAGGUAACGGCUUUCCUAGGGGACGAGGCGUAGCCGACGUGCGAGGAUGAUCGGCCGCACGGGAAGUGGGACGGGCACCAGGCGCCUGCGGGAAGGAGCAGUAGGGCAUCGGCCGCAAUAGGCGGGAACCUUGCGAAACGGGGCCGAGUCAGUGGUGAAGAUCUUCGGAUCGUGAAACUCUGUUAUUGGGGAAGAACAAAUGUGUAAGUGACUGUGCACGUCUUGACGGUACCUGAUCAAAAAGCCACGGCUAACUACGUG
rnacentral:rRNA from 1 species